UACGUAGGGGGCAAGCGCUGUCCGGAUUUAUUGGGCGUAAAGAGCGUGUAGGCGGUUUGGUAGGUCCGCUGUGAAAACUCGAGGCUCAACCUCGAGACGCCGGUGGAAACCAUCAGACUAGAGUCCGGAAGAGGAGAGUGGAAUUCCUGGUGUAGCGGUGAAAUGCGCAGAUAUCAGGAAGAACACCCGUGGCUAAGGCGGCUCUCUAGUACGGUACUGACGCUGAGACGCGAAAGCGUGGGGAGCGAACAGG
rnacentral:rRNA from 1 species